CAGCUUUGUUAAGCACACACAGGAAGCGUGAAUCAAAGAGUUAUAGGCCUGGUCUUGUUAUACUUUCAGAGACACACACUGAGAUCUACUAACGGAUUCACUUAUGAAAGGAUUUUUUUUUUAAGCUAAACAAAGAAUCUUACAUUUGUUGGGAAAAUGUUUUUGAAAAUCAAACCAACUAAUCACAAGAACACUACUGAACUCAAUCACAAGAGUUCCUGGCUGUUACCUGCUAACAACCCUCUGCCUCUAGAAACAAUUUUUGAGGGCAUGUCAAAACAAGGUCCCAAACAAUUUUGUUGAUUUUCUAAAAGAUGCAGGACAGCUGCUUGAAACCAGCAUGAAUCUUGUUUUUUCUCCACCUCACAGAAGUAAUCCAGAUUUCCCCUAAGACUGUAAACUACUUAAAACAGAAACUGAGGACAAAGUACACAAAAACAGAUACAAGCUUUACAAUCUCAGUGGUAAUGUCAAGGCUCAGAAUUGAAAGUCCUCAGUACCACUGUGUCUGAGCCACGUUUACACAGCAGAUGCAUUCCUUCUCCUCCUUUUCCCAAUUCCGAACCACUCUGCAGGAUGUCCAGAGAGAGAGAGAGAAUUCUACCAUGAAGAAUACACAGCGUCCCAUUAGUAUAUUUUUCACUAGCUAUUCUGGGGCCUGUCCCCUUCCUAAAAUAAAUAUUCCCCUGUGGGACAUAACUGAAGGUACGAGAUACGUAUACUUCUAAAGCAGCAACAGUCCCUGAGAUCAAAAGUCAAUGUGCACACUGAGUGCGGGUGUUCCUAUCCACCAAUGACUCAGCGUUGACCUGGCUGGCUAGAAAAGAAUCUGCUACAUAAUUUCUAAGUCCUAAUCAUUUCUAAAAUUGACUAAGAGGUCAUUAAAAGAUACAGGCUUAUAGUUUUUGUUAAGGAAAACAGGAUUUUGAUUUAAAAGCCCAACUAGUUAAGAGUACUACUUUCACCAAGAAGUCCCAAAUGUAUUUCCUUUGGUCAGAGUCUAAUUCUGACUGUGAAUCUUUAACGAAAUGUCCAGAAUUUUACCGAAUCCCUUUAACAUUUAAAAUAGAACAGACCCAGGAUUGUGCUUAUACUCAAAGCUCUUACUUAUCUCCUUUACUCCAUUUUUCUCCACUAGGUGGUCUGUAUGCUCGUAAUCUCUGCAUUUCCUCUUUCCAGUGAGGAGGUGUUUCACUGCUGUCAUCAUCAUCUGACUCAGAACAGGAUCUUGACCUUGGAGGUGUGUGAUAGCGCUUUAAAAACAAAGAGAAUACUAUUUUUAAAAAUGCAUCUCAACAGUCUGCUAUAGGACAGAGUUAAGUAAAAGAUCCAAUCUCAGAUCAUCCCGUCAAAGGCAAUGAUUCAGGUUGCCAAAAGGGUGGUCUAAAGUUAUUUCUUUUUCCUUUUUUUUUCUUUUUAAUUUUUAUUUUAGGUUCGGGUGAAGUUAUUUCAAACGAGGCAUUAAAAAAGAUGGGCAAGGCUGAGAGAUUCACCUGUAAUGCACAUAAACUUUUCCUCGUCAGUCUUAAUGAAUACAUUCAUUAGCCUAGAUUAUUCAACAUGCCAGAUUUCUCAGCAUACCGACAGUUUUACACGUUCCUCUUUUUAGACUCAAUUAAACCCAUUCAAACACAGCAGAAUAAUUUGAUCUAACAGCAACAUCUUCCCAUAAUUAUGGAAAAUAAAAUUAGUUCCUUGAAUAGAUUUUGUAUUAUAUCUAAAAUUAAAGCUAGGAUUUUGAUGAUAGGUAAACAUUUUUUCCUAUUUAGAUAUAUAAUUUCAAAAAAAGUCUUAUCACACAUACAAUUGUGCCCCUUCCUUUAAUCUUCCGUCCAGACUUUGAUACAGAUGGUUUCUGAUCACUUACAACGGGUGCAACAUCAGGAAUCUUCCUAGGAAAAGAAGAUGGUGAUGAAAAUUAAAAAUAAGCAAAGGGGAAGCAUUUUUCUCAAUGUUUAAAUACAGAAUUUAUGUCCCUAUAAUACCAAAACACUUCAUUUAUCCAACACUUUUGUAGAAUGAGACAUUCCACAUAACCUUAUUUUGUAAGCAAACCAUUUAAAUGACAAAACUUAAAAAAAA